AUACUUACCUGGACGGGGUCAAUGGGUGAUCAAUAAGACCCAUGGCCUAGGCUUGUGACCUCUAUUGCACUUUGGAGGGGUGCUUGCCUAAGGUCGGCCCAAGUGGUUGAGCCUACGUCAUAAUUUGUUGCUAUGGGGGCUUGCAUUCGCGCAGCCCCUAC
rnacentral:snRNA from 1 species